GUCUACGGCCAUACCACCCUGAACGCGCCCGAUCUCGUCUGAUCUCAGAAGCUAAGCAGGGUCGGGCCUGGUUAGUACUUGGAUGGGAGGAAAGUGUUAUUGAGCUGUAGCCC
rnacentral:rRNA from 1 species